CGGCAACAGCUCAAAUUUGAAAUCUGGCCCCAGGCCCGAGUUGUAAUUUGCAGAGGAUGCUUUUGGUGAGGUGCCUUCCGAGUUCCCUGGAACGGGACGCCAUAGAGGGUGAGAGCCCCGUCUGGUCGGACACCGAGCCUCUGUAAAGCUCCUUCGAC
rnacentral:rRNA from 1 species